rnacentral:tRNA from 1 species
GCCGAAGUGGCGGAAUUGGUAGACGCGCUAGAUUCAGGAUCUAGUGGACAUUAUAUCCGUGGGAGUUCGAAUCUCCCCUUCGGCACCA